ACUUUCAUUAUUUAGUCAAAUGUUGGGAGAGCAGCUUUUGGCUUUUAAUGAAUAUUUAAUAUGUCGGGGAGCUCUCGGGACUCAAGUUAGCCGUGAGAUGGGGUGGUUGCAGCAGGGACUGAGUUAGCAUCUAGCCUUCUGAGUUCUUUCUCCACUUUUCUUCUUUGAUAUUCCUUAAGUUGCUACGAGGCAGGCAAAACCCCACAGCAGCCUUUGCUCUGGAAGCUCCCCAGGUGCUUGGGGAUUGAAGACUAGGGAGAGGAGUUUGAGAGUCCACUGAUCCCCACUGCAGAGGAACGGUUGCUUUGGGUCUUAGACUGAAGGAUGCAGUUCCGCAAUGGCUCCUGAAGCCCCCUGGCAGCCACAGGCUGCUGGGAGAGCUGGGUGGAAAAUCAUUUUUGUAACAGCAGCACAGACUUUGGUCCUGCCUCAAGUACUUCCUCAUGUCUCUCUUGAUCAUCUCAAGUCUUGUGGGAAGGAAAACCAGGACUUCCAGGCCGGUUGGGUCCAAGGAUCUCAGACUUGCUAGUCUUAAAUUCCUGAUUCUCCUGCUUCCAUCUUCAAAGUGCUGAGAUUGCAAAGGUGCAGCAGCCAUACCUGGCUUGCUGGCAGCCCUUCUGAUGUCAUGCCUAAGAAGCCAUCACCUGACUGAAGGACUCUCUGGAAACUGUCGCAAAAUGGAUGGCUGCACAAUGGUAUCUUUUCUCGCUUCCUACCAGAAUACUGACACGCACAGGGGUUUGUGUAUCUGACCACAAUGUGUUCUGCUCCUGAUAUAUGACAUACAUAAUACUUAUUGCCUAUCUUAAAGUCAAAUAAAUAAAUAGAAUCUGUUGUAUUUGAGUAGCAAAAUUAUAUUUAAUGUCCUAUAAAUACUCUUAUUGAUUAUACAAAAUAUCUCCGUAGUAUUAUAAAAUAAAAGGAUGCAAUUCCAGCAUGUCAUA